UACAGAGGGGGCAAGCGUUAUUCGGAAUUAUUGGGCGUAAAGGGCGCGUAGGCGGCCUGACAAGUGGAAGGUGAAAUCCCUCGGCUUAACCGAGGAACUGCCCUCCAAACUGUUUGGCUUGAGACCGGGAGAGGUGAGUGGAAUUCCCAGUGUAGCGGUGAAAUGCGUAGAUAUUGGGAGGAACACCAGUGGCGAAGGCGGCUCGCUGGACCACUACUGACGCUGAGGAACGAAAGCUAGGGGAGCAAACAGG
rnacentral:rRNA from 1 species